rnacentral:rRNA from 1 species
UUCGCCCUUAGAGUUUGAUCCUGGCUCAGAGCGAACGCUGGCGGCAGGCUUAACACAUGCAAGUCGAGCGGGCCCUUCGGGGUCAGCGGCAGAUGGGUGAGUAACGCGUGGGAACGUGCCCUUCGGUUCGGAAUAACUCAGGGAAACUUGAGCUAAUACCGGAUACGUGCUUAGGCAGAAAGGUUUACUGCCGAAGGAUCGGCCCGCGUCUGAUUAGCUGGUUGGUGAGGUUAUGGCUCACCAAGGCGACGAUCAGUAGCUGGUCUGAGAGGAUGAUCAGCCACACUGGGACUGAGACACGGCCCAGACUCCUACGGGAGGCAGCAGAAGGG